rnacentral:rRNA from 1 species
GGUCAUUUAGAGGAAGUAAAAGUCGUAACAAGGUUUCCGUAGGUGAACCUGCGGAAGGAUCAUUACAGAGUUCCUGCCCUUUAUGGGUAGAAACCCCACCCGUGUAUAUUAUAUCUUUGUUGCUUUGGCAGGCCGCCUUCGGGCACCGGCAUACGCUGGAUCGUGCCUGCCAGAGGACCCUAAAUUCUGAAUGUUAGUGUCGUCUGAGUACUAUAUAAUAGUUAAAACUUUCAACAACGGAUCUCUUGGUUCUGGCAUCGAUGAAGAACGCAGCGAAAUGCGAUAAGUAAUGUGAAUUGCAGAAUUUAGUGAAUCAUCGAAUCUUUGAACGCACAUUGCGCCCCUUGGUAUUCCGAGGGGCAUGCCUGUUCGAGCGUCAUUUAAACCAAUCCAGCUUGCUGGGUUUUGGGCUUUCGCCUCUGGGCGGGCCUUAAAAUCAGUGGCGGUGCUGCCAGGCUCUAAGCGUAGUAAUUUUUCUCGCUAUAGGGUCCUGGUGGAGGCUUGCCAAUAACCCCAAAUUUUCAAAGGUUGACCUCGGAUCAGGUAGGGAUACCCGCUGAACUUAAGCAUAUCAAUAAGCGGAGGAA